CUGGUUGAAGGUGUCCAGGUUCUUGGCACCUUGAACAAAGAAUUGGACACAACGCACAAAUGGAGCAAGGAAAAAAUGAAGCAACAGAAGCAGAUAUUUAUGGAAAAUGAAAGCACACUCCACAGGGUGGGAGGGCCCGAGCAUGGAGAGACCGUUACUGAAGUUUCUGGGGUUUAAAUACCCUCUAGAGGUUUCCAUUGGUUACUUGGUGUACACUCUAUGUAAAUAAAGAGGAUGAAGUAAAAUUACAAAAUCAUGUACUCGGUGUACGCCCUGUGUAAAUGGAGAGGAUAUUUCCUGUCAUAGCCCAAGAGUUUCCAUUUGAUUUAGUUCUCCGAAGUCAGGGUGAAUCGGCCUUAUGUUCCUGCCUCCAGACCCUUUUCUCCUGCCUCCGUGGAAUGGAUGGCAGGACAUGGAAAAGUGUUUUGUCCAAAUGACAUGUCCAAGGGCACUGGCAGCUGAAGGCAAGAGGGAACCAGUUAGUGCCACGGAGGAAUGCCCACCCCCGUCUCCACACCGCACAGAACAAAGUGAGUGUCCUUGUCCUGAACCCUCUGAGAAGCAGCUCUGGAAUUUCAUUUAUUGGCAUUAAAAGCAGAAAAUGGUCCUAUAGAGCUCAAUUUAAUGGCAAAGAUUAAGGAAAGAAUAAAGACUCUGCCUAAUAAUGGUGACAUGAGCUGUUCAUAUUGUCAUUUUCUCUGGGACCUAAUAUGGGGGAGGAGGCGGGACCCCGUGUCGCCAGGCCCCAGGUGAUUUUCACACUGUUUCCCCAAAUCACUGCAGCCUCUUCCCUGCUGGUCCCUUGAUGCUGCUGCUGUGCCUGGCGUCCUGUGGGACAAGAGUGCAACAGGGCGCUGGGCACCUUGGCAGCUUCCAGUGGGAUAGGCCUGCGGCAUUCUGAGCCUGAAUGCGGUGAUCACCAGGAAGUAAGGAGACACAAGCAGGAGGGGUUCCAGGAUGGAGGGGCCACUUCUCAGGGAUCAGUCUCAGGCCCCAGUUGGGAAGGAUCCCCUUUCAGGACAAUGGCUCCAGGCCAAGGGCAACGCUGUUUCUGUGCGUCCUGAUGACUGACCUGCGUCCACAGGGAAGCGUAUCUGGGCUCCUUUUUUCCAGGCUGUGUUGGGAGCACCUUGAAAUGGGCACUGGUGGAUUUCAAUUCCAGCCUUCCGGAAGCCAUUCCAAAUGGAAACUGAGCUAAGGGAUGUAGGUGGA
rnacentral:lncRNA from 1 species